rnacentral:rRNA from 1 species
CGGGGGGAGCAAGCGUUGUUCGGAUUUACUGGGCGUAAAGGGCGCGUAGGCGGCCACCGCAAGUCGACUGUGAAAUCUCCGGGCUUAACCCGGAAAGGUCAGCCGAUACUGCGGGGCUAGAGUGCAGAAGGGGCAACUGGAAUUCUCGGUGUAGCGGUGAAAUGCGUAGAUAUCGAGUGGAACACCUGCGGCGAAGGCGGGUUGCUGGGCUGACACUGACGCUGAUGCGCGAAAGCUAGGGGAGCGAACGGGAUUAGAUACCCCGGUAGUCCUAGCCUUAAACGAUGAAUGCUUGGUGUCUGGGGUUUUAUAGUCCCCGGGUGCCGUCGCUAACGCUUUAAGCAUUCCGCCUGGGGAGUACGGUCGCAAGACUG